rnacentral:rRNA from 1 species
GUCGAGGGGCAGCGGGGUAGGAAGCUUGCUUUCUGCCGCCGGCGACCGGCGCACGGGUGAGUAACACGUAUGCAACCUGGCCGUGACAGAUGGAUAACCGGGAGAAAUCCCGCCUAAUACAACAUAAUGCCGGGAGGGGACAUCCCCUGCCGGCCAAAGGGGGCGACCCCGGUCACGGAUGGGCAUGCGGCGCAUUAGGUAGUUGGUGGGGCAACGGCCCACCAAGCCGACGAUGCGUAGGGGUUCUGAGAGGAAGGUCCCCCACAUUGGAACCGAGACACGGUCCAAACUCCUACGGGAGGCAGCAGUGAGGAAUAUUGGUCAAUGGCCGGAAGGCUGAACCAGCCAAGUCGCGUGAGGGAAUAAGGCCCUACGGGUCGUAAACCUCUUUUGCCAGGGAGCAAUGCCGUCCACGUGUGGACGGAAGGAGAGUACCUGGAGAAAAAGCAUCGGCUAACUCCGUGCCAGCAGCCGCGGUAAUACGGAGGAUGCGAGCGUUAUCCGGAUUUAUUGGGUUUAAAGGGUGCGUAGGCGGCCUGCCAAGUCAGCGGUAAAAUUGCGGGGCUCAACCCCGUACAGCCGUUGAAACUGCCGGGCUCGAGUGGGCGAGAAGUAUGCGGAAUGCGUGGUGUAGCGGUGAAAUGCAUAGAUAUCACGCAGAACCCCGAUUGCGAAGGCAGCAUACCGGCGCCCGACUGACGCUGAGGCACGAAAGUGCGGGGAUCAAACAGGAUUAGAUACCCUGGUAGUCCGCACAGUAAACGAUGAAUGCUAGCUGUC